GACGAACGCUGGCGGCGUGCUUAACACAUGCAAGUCGAACGGAAAGGCCCUGCUUUUGUGGGGUGCUCGAGUGGCGAACGGGUGAGUAACACGUGAGUAACCUGCCCUUGACUUUGGGAUAACUUCAGGAAACUGGGGCUAAUACCGGAUAUGAGCUCCUGCUGCAUGGUGGGGGUUGGAAAGUUUCGGCGGUUGGGGAUGGACUCGCGGCUUAUCAGCUUGUUGGUGUGGUAGUGGCUUACCAAGGCUUUGACGGGUAGCCGGCCUGAGAGGGUGACCGGCCACAUUGGGACUGAGAUACGGCCCAGACUCCUACGGGAGGCAGCAGUGGGGAAUAUUGCACAAUGGGCGGAAGCCUGAUGCAGCAACGCCGCGUGCGGGAUGACGGCCUUCGGGUUGUAAACCGCUUUCGACUGUGACGAAGCGUGAGUGACGGUAAUGGGUAAAGAAGCACCGGCUAACUACGUG
rnacentral:rRNA from 1 species